UCUUUCUCUCUCUUCAUCAGGUUCAGCUUUCUCUCUCUAAAAAAAAACCCUCAAAUAAAACCAUAAUUCUUAAUUCAAAGGAUAUCGAAAUCUAGCUCCCAUUUCAAGUUCUCUGUUGACGAUGCCAGUUGAAGGAUGAAGUGGUUCUCCAUUUUGGGCCAUUUGGGAAUCCUCAAAAUGUCAGAAUCUUGAUAGGAGGAGAAGUCAGCAUAUAUGUUGAUGAAGGUCUGACCUCAUUUCCAGUAAAACAAAUUUGACAAAAAGGUAGAUAUUUAUUAUUUAUCAUCUUGAUCAUUGAUAGUCCAAAAUUAACUGUACCAGAUAUGAUAACACUAACGUGGGAGUGAAAAUACAUUAAAGGCAUGUUAUUUGUAUGUAAAGUUUUAGCAAAACAGUAAAUAUCCUUGAAAAGGAAGGAGUGACAUACCAUUUGAUCAUUAUGUAUACUGACUUCUAAGAUUUCUUCCCCUCAUGUUAUGUAGAGAAUAUGAGAUUAUUGUGUCUAAACUUCGGAAAAUAUGCUAAAGUCUUAUCCUCCCCUGCUGUAACGAUCUUCUGGUCUACAAUGCAAAUGGACUAAUAUUUCCUUGUAUAUGAAUUUAAUAGGCUAGAUCUAGACCAAAUUUUCCUGGAGGAAACUCUAUACUAGCUUGAGUAGAGAGCAUGGUUGAUGAUCAAUAUUUGCAUAAUCAUUUGAUAGAUAAGAAGAAUUUUAUUUGAGAGUUCUUUAACAAUCCAUUCUAAAUUGGAGAAAUCUAACAGACUUGUUUCUUCCUUGGUGAAAAAAUCCUAUGACUUUUUAAUAUAAAAUUUUGCAAGGUGUCCUCUUAUAUGUUCAAAAUGCAGGGGAAAUAAAUAUCAUAUAUCAGCAACAAUUAGUGGUCCUGACUAAAAGUUAGCUACAUUGAUUAACCAUGACAUUGUGAGUUUGGGGUUUUUAAAUCAGUAGAAAACUUUACCAUUUCAUUGAUUUUCUAGUAAUCCGAUUAAAAUAAAUCCCCAAGAUCAUUCUUGAUAGUAUGAUACAUUAGGAGCAAGAUCAUCCUAAGUUUGCCGGCAAAUAGUUCUUUCACUCGUUUAUGUCACAUUAUCUUCUUUUUUCACUCAGUUUGUUGAAUCUCACAUCACAAUUUUGUCAUUUACCUCUUACCUCUUAACUGACUAAUUGUCCAACUUGAUGGGUUCUCCAUUAUGGGCCUUUUGAGUACCCUCAAAAUGUCAGAAUCUUGUCACAAAGGAGGAGAAGUCAGCAUAUAUGUUGAUGAAGGGCUGACCUCAUUUCCAGGUGGAAAUCUGUUUGGAGCGAGAGCAAUAAGCUACCCAGCAGAUUGACAAAUGCAGACAUCUCUCGCAUUUUGUUUUGAAACACAAGGAUCAUCCAUUGUAGCUGCUUACUAGCACUAUUUGUGACAAAUAUAUAAUGAGCAUCGAGCAUCACACCUUUCACAGGAAAGACAUCAACUAUUGACCGAGAUUACGUCCCAGGGAUCCAUAUUGGUCCCAUGAGGAUAUGUAUUGAUACUAAGGAUAAUUUGUCACUUGAUAAAAGGAAGAACAGCGUACAGAACUGACUUGAUUCUAGAUAAGAUGCUACAUGUUAUAUACACACCAAAUAGGAUGGAGAAUGAUAGGUUGAUCAUGAAACUUCCAAUAUAUGAUGAUGACUAUUAUUCACAUUACAGGGUCACAAGGGUCCCCAUGGGGAUAUAUGACGGAUGCCAUAGGAAUUAUCCUCUCAAUAUCGAAAAGUUGUAACAAGAUAAAGGAAGAAUGACAAAGAGAAAUGUACUGAUUGUGGAUAGGAGAUGCUACUUAUUAUACACACAACAAAUGAGAAUGACAUCUCUCAAGAAAUCAUAUCUCCACUCUCCGUAUUUUUCAUACAAUGUAUGAAGAUGCUGAGAAAGAGAAGCCUACUGGCAGGAGAUAAGGUAAGAGGGUUUGUGCAACUGGAUGGAGUCAAGAGACUGAAAAAAAAGCACCUUGGCUUUUAUGGGCAUAUGCCUUGUGAUCAAUUGAUGUAGUUGCUAGAAAGGAUAUACAUUAACAACUUACUCUCAGGGAGAGGUCAGCUGCUCAAUUUUUUUCCUUUAAUAUAUAUUGUUGUGAGAAAAAGAGAUGCCGAUUAUGGUAUAUAUAUCCACCUGGUGGAUUAUUAAGAGAAAAUGUACUUUAAAAAUGCAUAGUCACUACUUAAUACUAGUUGUUAUUUACUAUUUGUACCACGCAAUGAACUAAAGUUUUCUCUUCAUGAAUAUUAUAGUGUCGAGCAUCUAGUAUAAAUAACACUAACAUCACAAAAAGAAACUACACUAAGAUUUUUAUGAUUAGACUCUGUUUAUAUUUAUAGGGCAUAUCUUAAAUGUUUCAUCAUAUUAGAUAAAUAUCAGUUGAUAAAAUACUAAAAGAAUUUCCCAUCUGGUAUUUAUUUAAUUUUCUUCCGCAAGAUUUAACCUUAGGUUCUAUCCACCUAUCCAACAAAUUCUUAAAAUAAUCCAAAUUAAGCACAUAAUCAAAAUUUCAAAAGUCUAACACAUUCUUUGAAAAUUAUUUUGAUUUUAUUAGGUUGCCUUGCAUCACAGAGGCAAUGGAUUUCAUAUCUACAUCAUGCAUAAAAAUUCAUUAUGUUUAUUUUAAAAAUAUGUGCGCCUCCUAAGGUUACAAACUUUUUGAAUAUUUUAAUAUUUUAUAUUCCAUAAAUGUUGGUGAAAUAUUAUUUGUGAUGUAUUAAUAUUUUUAUUAAAUUAUCAUGUGCUGUUUUUGCUGGUUAUGGUCAUAAAUAUUGAUUAUUUGUUUGUUUCAUUGAUUUAUGUGAUCUUACUAGGAUUUUUGCACAUCAUCAUUAUAUUUAUGUUUUACCAACAUUCCAGUGUUAAUUUACUGAAAAAGUUAGGAUCAAAUUAUAUUAUAUUCUUGAGUAUUGUUUUUCAAAAUAAUUUCAUAUAGGGCUUCACCCUAAAGGUGCUUAAACUCUGUGGUUUAUGUGUUGUGGCUUCUUGAAAGUUUCAAAGCCUAUUUACUUCUUAGUCAAAUUAGCCAACAUUUAGAGUUUUUAUUAAGAUUUCUCCCUUACAAAAUUUAUAACCAGCACUAAAGCAAAGGUUUGCUUUGAGGCUAGAAGAGUUUAGCUUCACAUUUAUACUGCAUUCCAUAAAAGGCAUUCACUUGAACCCACAUAUACCACAGUAAGUUCUUAAUUUUUUUUGGCAUUUGUAUUUUUGUCUUGCAAAUUAGAACUGAGCAAAUUGAGAUAUCUCAAAGUAUUUUUCUAUAGAUCAAAACUAUAUAGGAUGAUUAAGUUGAAGAUUUCUUAUAUUUACAAUCAAAGUCGUAUCUUUCAAAGAGAUCACAUGAAUUAUAUAAUCAUGCAUAUUUGAAGCUUUUAAUCAAAAGUCAAUUACCUAGAGGAGUUUAAAAGCUUAUAGCAACUCUGCUACUUCUUAAUUGCUCAAAAUUUUUCAAAAAACUAUUCAAAAAAUAUUGUUGGUUAAUUACUUCUAAGUUGGUGAAAUUGGAUGUAACACCAUCAAACUAUAGGAGCCUUUAGUCAAGAAAUCUAGCAUGACAAGACACAUAACUUGCGAAUUCCACCACAGUGAAUUACAAUAAAGAUUGUCACUUCAGUGAGUGAUAUAGAGAAGGAAAGCUAAAACGAAUAACUUAUUCUGCCCCAUCAAUGGUAAUUAAUAAGUUUAAAAGUACAAAAUAACCAAGGUCACCUAAGGAAGAAUCUAAUAAAGUAGCUUAAUUAUUGUGAAGAUAAAUAUACUCCUCAUAGAGCUAGUAAUCAGUAUCAAAUUCUAUGUCCACCAAUAGAACUUAAAAGAUGCAGCCUUGUCUCCCAAGGGUCCUUUAGAUAUGAACCUUUUUUUUUUGAUAUAGAUCUAGUCAUUUCUUAAUGUUGGUGUUAUGCUAACUAAUAAAUAUUACAAUUUGGAACCUUUUGAACUUUGAAAGUUAUUUGAUUUGAUCUGAGGGGAUCUUCCUGAAGAAAACCACUUGCAUAAGAAUGCGAAAGCGUUCUCUUCUAAUUGGUUUAGUUUUAAUAUUUGUAUAUUUCUUUGUUUUUCUAACGCACAUUUCUUGAACUUCCGACCUCUAUACCGUAUACUGGCAUAUUUUUUCUCUCUGGAAGAUUAAGACAGCAUUAUUCGAGACCUGUGACUGACAAUGACAUAAACAUUUAGCAACAAGAGAACCUUCAGAAUUCAGUUGCUAAGAACAAAUAUGGCCAAACCACAACUAAUUAGACAUGAAUUCUGAUAUCUUCCUUUCUGUUAGAUAAAAAUGAUGGAUAGAUCGCUUCUUUUUAAUCGUAACUACUUAUCAUUUAAUGAAUAAAUUGAUUUUAGAUGAAAACUGAAAUUAAAUGUCAUUUCUUGGAAAACAGAACAAGUUAUUAUUAGACCAGUUACCAUAUUGAAGAAAUUAGAUAGAAUAGAGGGAUUAUGGACUAUGAUCAGGAUUUUGGUUGUGAGAACAUAACAUGCUUUUUUGAUACCGUGUUGUAUUUGGACAACUGCCUUGAUACUCAAGA